rnacentral:rRNA from 1 species
GAUGAACGCUGGCGGCGUGCCUAAUACAUGCAAGUCGAGCGAACAGAUGAGGAGCUUGCUCCUCUGACGUUAGCGGCGGACGGGUGAGUAACACGUGGAUAACCUACCUCUAAGUCUGGGAUAACUUCGGGAAACCGCAGCUAAUACCGGAUAAUAUAUUGUACCGCAUGGUUCAAUAGUGAAAGACGGUUUUGCUGUCACUUUUAGAUGGAUCCGCGCCGCAUUAGCUAGUUGGUAAGGUAACGGCCUACCAAGGCAACGAUGCGUAGCCGACCUGAGAGGGUGAUCGGCCACACUGGAACUGAGACACGGUCCAGACUCCUACGGGAGGCAGCAGUAGGGAAUCUUCCACAAUGGGCGAAAGCCUGACGGAGCAACGCCGCGUGAGUGAUGAAGGUCUUCGGAUCGUAAAACUCUGUUAUUGGGGAAGAACAGAUGUGUAAGUAACUAUGCACGUCUUGACGGUACCUAAUCAGAAAGCCACGGCUAACUACGUG